rnacentral:rRNA from 1 species
UACGGGGGAUGCAAGCGUUAUCCGGAUUUAUUGGGUUUAAAGGGUGCGUAGGCGGCUUGGUAAGUCAGCGGUGAAAUUUAGGGGCUCAACCUCUACCGUGCCGUUGAUACUGUCGGACUAGAAUGCGGAUGCCGUGGGAGGAAUGUGUGGUGUAGCGGUGAAAUGCAUAGAUAUCACACAGAACACCGAUUGCGAAGGCAUCUCACGAAUCCGCUAUUGACGCUGAGGCACGAAAGCGUGGGGAUCAAACAGG